AAAAAGAGCGGAAAAAUUCUUGAAAGUAGUUAUGAAGUUUGAAAAAGUAUUAUAUAAUUUCCUGUGAGUUUUUGGGAAAUUUACUUCUUAUUGGUUUUAAAAAUAAGGCCAUGAGAAUAAGUUGUGGCGAAAUCGAUUUAAGGCGUCGGCAUGUUCAAUAACAACAGGAUCAUCGUUGGGGCUAUGUUUUACAUACACGAGAUUUUUGAAUGUGAACGCCGAGUUAAUAAGCUUUUUUUUCUUUAACGAAAAUGCAUCUUGAAGUAUUCUGUAGUUGGUGUUCGAGAGAUUCUCGUUUAUGUAAAAUUGGCGCUCCGAGUCAAGACCUUGUAAUCGGAGGACAAGGGAGUUGCCGUUUUUUUUCUUGAUAGCAGACAGUGACUUCAGGAAGAAGUUUUAAACGUAAGGAGACAUAAACGUAGCAAUAAUAACAGCAUUAGGUGAAUUGCAUUUCUUUGUAUUAUUUCCAAUCUUCAGUCGGUCAAUCGUUUUGAGCUUAGAAGAGGGAAUAUUGCAGCUGGUACAAAUUUUCUCAAAUAAAUUCCAUAUAUUGCUAUAUAAAGAAAACGGUAUACCAUUCAUACGUACAUCCGCUGCAACCGAAGCAUUUUCUCGAACCGAUCAUCAAGAAGUUGUAUCAUACGUAGAGGUGAAUCGGAUAGUCGUGGCGUUUUAGAAACGUUACCAAUCAAGGAUCGUUGAAAGCUGCUGUCCCGAAUUCUUUUAAGUGCCUGAGAUUCCCCAGACACGUGUUUAUCGGUGCCAACUUCAAUUGGUUAAGAAAAUACAUUAUUGCGGCUGUUUGGUUUGGGCGAAGCACUCAUGAUGCAAGUUGUAACGUGUAAAGGGGAUAUAGGAUUUGGAAAUUGUUCGCAAUGGGAUAGUGCGAUACGUUUUAUGAACCGCCUAAAUAUAUGCACCACUUUAUAAAAUGUAUAAUGGCAGCACUAUGUGCACACAGCCUCCUUCCAGUCAAGAUUUGGCAAUCUUGAUAUUUAUUUUUAUAAAAAAAACCAAGAAAACAGCUCACCAGCAAGCAGGAAACAGCUCCCUCCAUUCACAAACACGGCGCAAAAAUGGAUGAAUCGGUAUCAGCAAAAACGAUCAGGAAUGGACGCUUUUUCAACGAAAAACCACCACAACAAUGAGGAGCGGCGGCCACACUCAACCGUCUGGCCUUAAAGCAGUGGUUUUGCAUAAUGAUGGAUCGCUUCCUUUGGUACCAUUGGCUGACGCUACAAACAUCAAAGAAUCAUAUGACAGUAUGCCUCUAAUACUAAAUGCUAUAGGAUACACUACACAUAAGUGGCUAAUUGUGGCUGUUUUGAGAGUAAUAAAAAUUUUGAAUGACUUGCAAGGUGGUAACACAAAGUGUUAUUGCUAUUUUUAUGAAUGAGACAGCCGAGACUCUUCUAAACAUUACAUACAAAGAGACUGGAAACUGCGUUCAACAGCUAUAAUUGGUGAAAAAUAGCAUGAAUAUCCCGUUAAUCAAUUCAAAAUACAUAAUUUUACCUCCAUUGCACAUAAAAUUGGGCUUUAUAAAACAAUUCGUAAAAGCACUUGAAAAAAAUGGAGCAACAUUCAACAAUCUUGAACAGGGUUUUCCACGAA
rnacentral:sRNA from 1 species